UCUUUAGCUUCAGCAUUUUUCCCCCCUGCUGUGUAGGCUCUUCAUUUCGGAGCACAGGCUUCUCCUGUUGCAGAGCAUGGGCUCUAGAGGGUUCAGUCGUUGCGGCACAUGGCUCUCUUUAGUUGUGGCACAUGGGCGUAGUUGUCCAUGGCACGUAGGAUCUUAGUUCACUGACCAGGGCUCAAACUCUGGUCCCCUGCUUUGGGAGCACAGAGUCUUAGCCACAGGGAAGUCCCAUCACUGUUAUUUACUGAGUGUCUACUAUAGUCUGACAUCAGUGAACGCAUUUAAUCUUUCCAAUCACCUCACAAGGUUAUUGAGCUCUUAUGUGCCAAGACUGUAUAAAAGUAUUUUAUAUUUAUUACAUGUGUAUGUAUGUUUAUGUAUAUUAACUCAUUUUACCUUCAUGAACCACCUUAUUUCAUAGAUGAGGAAACUGAGGCAGAGACACUAAAUUACAUGCACAAGGCUUGCCUAGUUAAUAAAGAUUGGGGUCAGGAUUUGAACUCUGGCAGUCUAAUUCCAGAACCUAUAUCAUUCUUGACACCCUCCCUUCCUAAGUGCAGUUUUGUAGAUGGCAAACUGAGUCAGAGAGGCCAGGUCACAUGACUAGCACUUCACAGAGCUGAAUCCAGAAACCUGGCUCCUGUUCCAGCCACUGUGCCUAUUACCCGGUAAACUGCCUGUGAUGUAAAUCACAAAGACUUCAAAGCUAAAAGUCUCCAGGCCCUGAAACUAUGAUGUAGCAAGCUCCACCACACCCGGGUUCCUAUCUCAGGCAAAGAGGGACUUGGUCAUUGACGGUUUUGGGAUCUUCUGCCUGGCCGCCCCAGCUCCAAUGCUCUUCUGAAAAUUGGAACAGUUGUCAGUUGAAGACACUCAUCAUCAAUUACAGGAAGAACUGUCAGUUAAAGACCCUAAUGGAAGAACCAUGGACUGGAAAGAAUCAUCAGUUAUAGGUCCCAAGAGGAAAAGAAGUACAUUUCAUCUCCUAGAAGAAAUCCAUUACCCCAGCAACUCGGACAGUGAGAAGCCAUCAUUACCCUGAACUCUCACUUUUCUCCAGUGGACAUUCCUUCAGAACAACCCCUCCCAAUGUCUUCCCUUUUUUCCCUAUACAAUAACCUUCUCUGUUUGUUGGCCUUGCCUAUGGCUUUUGCUAUAACUUCCUUGUUCUCUGCUCUUCCUGAAUAAAUCUAUUCUUGCUGGUAAAAAUAAC
ensembl:lncRNA